rnacentral:rRNA from 1 species
GACGAACGCUGGCGGCGUGCUUAACACAUGCAAGUCGAACGGAAAGGCCCUUCUAUUGUGGGGUGCUCGAGUGGCGAACGAGUGAGUAACACGCGAGUAACCUGCCCUUGACUAUGGUAUAACUUCAGGAAACUGGGGCUAAUACCGUAUAUGCGCUCCUGCUGCAUGGUGGGGGUUGGAAAUUUUCGGCGGUUGGGGAUGGACUCGCGUCAUAUCAGCUUGUUGGUGGGGUAGGGGAUUACCAAGUCUUUGACGGGUAGCCGGCCUGAGAGGGUGACCGGAAAGAUUGGGACGGAGAUACGGCACAGACUCAUACGGGAGGCAGCGGUGGGGAAUGUGGCACAAUAGGAGGAAGGCUGAUGCAGCAAAGCCGCGUGGGGGAUGACGGGCUUCAGGUUGGAAACCGCUUUCGCAUGUGAAGAAGAGUGAGUGACGGUAAUGGGUUAAGAAGCACCGGCUAACUACGUG